rnacentral:rRNA from 1 species
GAUGAACGCUGGCGGCGUGCGUAACACAUGCAAGUUGAACGACGAUGCCAUGAAGUGGUAACACGGAGUGGUAUACGGAGUAGCGGACGGGUGAGUAAAGCAUGAGAAUCUGUCCUGCCGAGGGGGAUAACGUUCGGAAACGGACCCUAAUACCCCAUAGUCCGAGAGGUUAAAGCGGAGACGCGCGGCAGGAGGAGCUCGUGUCCUAUCAGCUAGUUGGUGAGGUAAGGGCUCACCAAGGCUUCGACGGGUAGCCGGCCUGAGAGGGUGACCGGCCACACUGGAACUGAGAAACGGUCCAGACUCCUACGGCAGGCAGCAGUGGGGAAUAUUGGGCAAUGGGAGGAAUCCUGACCCAGCGACGCCGCGUGAACGAAGACGGCCUUCGGGUUGUAAAGUUCUUUUAUGUGGGAAGAAUUAAGUGACGGUACCACAUGAA